rnacentral:rRNA from 1 species
UACGGAGGGGGCUAGCGUUGUUCGGAAUUACUGGGCGUAAAGCGCACGUAGGCGGCUUUGUAAGUUAGAGGUGAAAGCCCAGAGCUCAACUCUGGAACUGCCUUUAAGACUGCAUCGCUUGAAUCCGGGAGAGGUGAGUGGAAUUCCGAGUGUAGAGGUGAAAUUCGUAGAUAUUCGGAAGAACACCAGUGGCGAAGGCGGCCUGCUGGGCAGUGGCUGACACUGAGGCGCGACAGCGUGGGAGCAAACAGG